AUACGUAGGGUGCGAGCGUUGUCCGGAAUUACUGGGCGUAAAGAGCUCGUAGGUGGUUUGUCGCGUCGUCUGUGAAAUUCCGGGGCUUAACUCCGGGCGUGCAGGCGAUACGGGCAUAACUUGAGUACUGUAGGGGAGACUGGAAUUCCUGGUGUAGCGGUGAAAUGCGCAGAUAUCAGGAGGAACACCGGUGGCGAAGGCGGGGCUCAGGGCGUUAACUGACGCUGAGGAGCGAAAGCAUGGGUAGCGAACAGGAUUAGAUCCCCUGGUAGUCCAUGCCGUAAACGGUGGGCGCUAGGUGUAGGGGUCUUCCACGACUUCUGUGCCGUAGCUAACGCAUUAAGCGCCCCGCCUUGGGAGUACGGCCGCAAGGCUAAAACUCAAAUGAAUUGACGGGG
rnacentral:rRNA from 1 species